GAUGAACGCUAGCGACAGGCCUAACACAUGCAAGUCGAGGGGCAGCACGGUGUAGCAAUACACGGGUGGCGACCGGCGCACGGGUGAGUAACGCGUAUGCAACCUGCCUACUACAAGGGGAUAACCCGUUGAAAGACGGACUAAUACCCUAUAACACAGGGAAUCCGCAUGGAUAUAUUUGUUAAAGAUUUAUCGGUAGUAGAUGGGCAUGCGUUCCAUUAGCUUGUUGGUGAGGUAACGGCUCACCAAGGCAACGAUGGAUAGGGGAACUGAGAGGUUGAUCCCCCGCACUGGAACUGAGACACGGUCCAGACUCCUACGGGAGGCAGCAGUGAGGAAUAUUGGUCAAUGGACGAGAGUCUGAACCAGCCAAGUCGCGUGAAGGAAGACGGCCCUACGGGUUGUAAACUUCUUUUGUAAGGGAAUAAAUAGUCUUACGCGCUAAGACGUUGCAGGUACCUUACGAAUAAGGAUCGGCUAACUCCGUG
rnacentral:rRNA from 1 species